UAAAAAUGGUAUACAAUAAUAAACUUCAAGAACUAGCGCUUAAGCUGUUCAAUAUAGAUGCUGUGAAAUUUGGUGAAUUUAUGACGAAGAUCGGCAUAAAGACACCGGUGUACCUACUUGGACUUGAGGGUUAUAGUCAGCUAUCCGGCUGUUAUGGACUUAAUAUCUACAUAUAGCAAUCUAUAUGAGUUCGCUGUACUGUAAAAGACAGUAAAUGCGAUCAUCUGUGUGGAAUGCCGUACACUGCAUUACCGGUCGCGACCUUGUUGAGCGUUCAAGCCACAAAGCCUAUGUUGAUGAGGAGAAAAGAAGCCAAGUCUUACGGUACCAAAAAAAUAAUAGAGGGCCAUUAUAGAGUUGGUCAAAAGUGCCUUAUCAUUGAAGAUGUGAUCACUUCUGGUUCCAGUGUGAUGGAAACUGUAAAAGAUCUGCAUAAUGAGGGUUUAGUAUCCGAUGAGGCAAUUGUGAUUCUCGAUAGAGAACAGGGACGGAAAGAGAAUCUUGAAAAUAAUGUCCAAGUUAAAUCUCUAUUUCUUUGUCUGGUUUGAUUGAGAUAUUGUUGGCAAAUUAAAAAAUAGAUCAAUCAAGAAAUAGCCACUAAAGUCCAUGAUUACCUGAAAGGUACUAAAGCUCCUUCAACAGUACAACCAGUAAACCGAAUGGCUUUUACAUAGAUAUGAAGAUAGAUCAGAGCUAGCCACCCAUUGUGAAGCAGCUAUUCACCAUAAUGGCUUCUAAGAAAACCAAUUUAUGUUUGUCCGUUGACUAACAAAAAAACAACACACAACGAAAAUCCUUGACCUGUUAGAAAAAGUUGGCGAACAUAUCUGCUUAGUGAAAACCCAUGUGAAGAUUUUUCAGAGGAUUUUAUAAGCAGUUUGAAACAAUUGGUAGCACGGCUUAACUUUUUAAUACUGGAGGACUGUAAAUUUGCUGAUAUUGGCAAUACUGUCAAUCAAUCUCAAUCACAAUAAUGUCAAUCUUAAACACUACUUUCAACUGGACCGUGUGGUGAAUGCUUGAAACAAUGCAGUGCCAGUGAUAUUAAUGAUUAACUUGUAACAUCAACACAUACCUAGCUCUGUGUGUGUCAAAACUGUAAUGACUCCUACCAGGCGCGCAGUGCAGGCUGCACUGCCUGCUUCUUCUUAUCCUUUUGACCUGCAGGACUUAAAAUUACUACAAAAGUAAUGUACCUAUCUAUGGAAUGGAACUACAGAAGUACACUGAAGGAAGGCCUCCACAGCAAGGUGAUAAAUCUUUGACUUUGACGUUUGCAAGUAGUCCUAAUAGCCACUGCAUCCUGAAUUGUAAUUAUGAGCCACCAAUAACAAAAAAGACGUCUGUGACAUGGAUCCCUAAUGU